rnacentral:rRNA from 1 species
GACGAACGCUGGCGGCGUGCCUAAUACAUGCAAGUCGAGCGGACAGAAGGGAGCUUGCUCCCGGAAGUUAGCGGCGGACGGGUGAGUAACACGUGGGCAACCUACCCUGUAGAUCGGGAUAACAUCGAGAAAUCGGUGCUAAUACCGGAUAAUCAUUUGAAGUGCAUGCUUCGAAUGUAAAAGAUGGCUCCGGCUAUCACUACGGGAUGGGCCCGCGGCGCAUUAGCUAGUUGGUAGGGUAAUGGCUUACCAAGGCAACGAUGCGUAGCCGACCGGAGAGGGUGAUCGGCCACACUGGGACUGAGACACGGCCCAGACUCCUACGGGAGGCAGCAGUAGGGAAUCUUCCGCAAUGGACGAAAGUCUGACGGAGCAACGCCGCGUGAGUGAUGAAGGUUUUCGGAUCGUAAAGCUCUGUUGUUAGGGAAGAACAAGUGCCGUUUGAAUAAGGCGGCACCUUGACGGUACCUAACCAGAAAGCCACGGCUAACUACGUGCCAGCCGCCGCAGUAAAAC